GAUGAAGAACGUAGCGAAAUGCGAUAAGUAAUGUGAAUUGCAGAAUUCCAGUGAAUCAUCGAAUCUUUGAACGCACAUUGCGCCCGCCAGUAUUCUGGCGGGCAUGCCUGUUCGAGCGUCAUUUCAACCAUCAAGCUCCCGGGCUUGCGUUGGGGCCCUGCGGCUGCCGCAGGCCCCUAAAACCAGUGGCGGGCUCGCUGUCACACCGAGCGCAGUAGCAUUUCUUCGCUCUGGGCGCGGCGGCGGGCGCUUGUCGUAAAACAUACCACUUUUUAAAGGUUGACCUCGGAUCAGGUAGGAAUACCCGCUGAACUUAAGCAUAUCAAUAAGCGGAGGA
rnacentral:misc_RNA from 1 species